rnacentral:rRNA from 1 species
CCUACGGGCGGCAGCAGUGAGGAAUAUUGGUCAAUGGACGAGAGUCUGAACCAGCCAAGUAGCGUGAAGGAUGAAUGCACAAUGGGUUGUAAACUUCUUUUAUAAAGGAAUAAAACGAGGCACGUGUGCCUUUUUGCAUGUACUUUAUGAAUAAGGAUCGGCUAACUCCGUGCCAGCAGCCGCGGUAAUACGGAGGAUCCGAGCGUUAUCCGGAUUUAUUGGGUUUAAAGGGAGCGUAGAUGGGGUGUUAAGUCAGUUGUGAAAGUUUGCGGCUCAACCGUAAGAUUGCAAUUGAUACUGGCAGUCUUGAGUACAGUUGAGGUAAGCGGAAUGCGUGGUGUAGCGGUGAAAUGCUUAGAUAUCACGAAGAACCCCGAUUGCGAAGGCAGCUUACUAAACUGUGACUGACAUUGAUGCUCGAAAGUGUGGGUAUCGAACAGGAUUAGAUACCCGAGUAGUC